AGACCAUGGUGAGAGCUUCUUUGUAUCAGCGACUUCAAUCUUUCCCAAGCUUCAUGAAAACACUCUCUUUCUAUUUGCUUAAAGUUUGCAAUCUCCCUUCUCAGUUG
rfam:Gossypium arboreum cultivar AKA8401 contig_32847_1, whole genome shotgun sequence.